CCGCACUGCGCUCGCCGAGAGCGCCCCGAACUCGAGCGAAAGACCGAGGCGAAUCGUCGCGGUACCCCGUCGAAUCUCGGCGGCCGCUCAAGAGAGGAGCUCGAUUCGACGCGGCAUCGCCCGUCAGGCUCGAACGCCGAACCCGUCGCGUCGGACAUGAAGGCGUGGCGGGAGAACUGGAAGGAGAGGAGAGAGAGGUUAGUUCAACGGUGGUCCUACUUCUUCAAAGUCCUUCUCCACUCCGUGUUAUCCGAGCCUCCAUCCGACGCCAGUUCGCAACCGACGCAGUGGAGAUCUCUAAAGCCGGCGAGACACGAGACGGCGGCCGGUUCGCGCGCUUAGCGCCCCGUCCCGACGCGUCGACACACGCCCACGACGUGGGGGAGAAGGGCGGAGACACCGAAGGCGCGAAACGUCACGUGAAGCGUUCGUGCGGGAGAGAAGCAACAGGCGUCGACGAGGAAUACGUUGUUGUUUCUACGCACGUCGACUACGAUGCCGGCCCCGACGCGUAGCGCUGGACCCGAUUCCGGGAGGGGAGAACGUUCGUAACGGGACUGCGAGGAGGUGGCCACGCUCAUUGAGCGGAGCGCUUUGCUAUGUGCUGUGCGGAGAAGCUCCUCGUUCCCGCGGCGUCGUCUUGCACGGUGGCGCGCCUUCUUCCGACUUCGCCGCUGCCGGCUUUCGAGAAGAGUCCCAGCGGUCGCAGCGAUGCUGUGAGCAGGUACUCGCAAGACGUGGUCGCACUGCCCAGCUGAGCUUGGCACGGCGUAGCGACUUCCGGCCACCCACACCCGCCCCGCGCAAGCUCUGCAACCCUGUCUCCCUACAGCCGCCCGAGCACCGACAGGAUAGACUGCUGCUGCCCUCUGAUGCCCGCGGCGCGCGUGUCUCCGGCGGACGAACCGGCGGCGGCCUGGCCCGCCGCUGACCGCCGGGGACCCGCGGCCGCCGCCCACGGCCUCGGAGGAGCUACUGCCUCGCCCAGCGACACGCCGCUGCCAGACCCUUCCGGCCACCGACUCGCCUCCUCCAACAACGCGCACCGCACCUCUGACACGGGAAACAAGGCGCCGUGUCCCGUCACGCCUACCAAAGC
rnacentral:lncRNA from 1 species